UGUUUACUGCCAUCUAGUGGAAGAUACCAAUAAAACACUUUAUUAUCAGGGUGGGGAGACGGCUGAGCUGAAACAGAAAGUAAAGUUGUUCUUUUGUUCAGGAUCCAUUUUGAAACGACAGAGCAGAAAACACUACAUGGAGAGAACUGAAAAAUAAAGGGACAGUGCUCUAAAAUGAGUCUCUCCGGGGAGAGAGAGGAGGGGGGCCCUGCCUCUAAAAUGCAUCUCUCUGGGGGACAUGACACCAAAGCUAAGAGCCCAAUCAAGCAGGAGAGACCAGCCUCCCCUGUACCCAGCUGUGUGUCCAUGAAGAGUGACUGGUCUAUGAAACAUCCUAUAACGUUUAGAGAGGGAGACUUUUCUACUGAACAAAGGUAAGAAGAACUCAUGGGUCAUGGUCAGUGAGUUAAACAACACUGUCUCUAGUCAUUUCUCCUUUCCCAUUUCCCAUUUAUUUUGGUUGUUUUCAUAAUCCAUAGGCUAAUCCUUUUGUCCAUUUUCAUAGUACUAAAACAAUAUUAAACAAACACAAUAUUCCCUGUGUGUGUGUGUGUGUGUGUGUGUGUGUGUGUGUGUGUGUGUGUGUGUGUGUGUG